AUGGCUACAGUCCUCAAGGUCCCCUUAAUCCUGUACCUGCUUGCAGUGCUUGCCGGCCGCCAUGUUCACUGCAAGAGCAAUGGGGCCGCCGCCGGCCUUUAUGACGUUACAGAGUAUGGAGCGGCGCCGAGCAGCGAAGACAACAAAGACGCAUUCUUGGCGGCAUGGCGCGCCGCGUGCAGCUCCACGACCCGCAACGCGACGCUGCUGAUCCCCGAGGGCACCUUCGCCGUCGGCGCCGUGGAGUUCUCGGGCCCGUGCAAGAGCGGUGACGCGCCCGUCGUGGUGAUCGACGGCGUGCUCCGGCCGUGCACGGGUGGAUGCCACCUAACGGAUGAUGACUGGAUCUUCAGCGCCCUGAGCAACCUCCUCAUCACCGGCGCCGGUACCCUAGACGGCCAGGGCGGCGCUCGGACUAACAAGGCCAGAACGACGGUGAUCACGCCGGCCGCCAAUACUGAAUCGAUCAAAUUCGUGUCAUUUCCUUUUACUGAACGAGACGGCGAGGUGAUUUUGCCCGCCAUUGCGCAGACUCUGGAGUUGGACGGCGUGACGAACUCGACCGUGAGGGGCCUGCGGUUCGUGGACAGCCGGGGCUUCCACGUGAGCUUCCACCGCAGCAGCCGCGUGGCGGCGGAGGGCCUCCGCAUCCACGCCCCCGCGUCCAGCCGGAACACGGACGGCAUCCACGUCGGCUGCUCGAGCCACGUCCGCAUCACCGACUCGGUCAUCGGCACGGGCGACGACUGCGUGUCCGUCGGCCCCGGCUCCUCGGACGUGGUCGUCACCGGCAUCGUCUGUGGCCCGGGCCACGGCAUCAGCGUGGGCAGCCUGGGGAGGGAGGAGGGGGAGGAGGACGUGCGCGGGCUGGUGAUCCGGAACUGCACCGUGCGCGGCACCACCAACGGGGUGCGCAUCAAGACGUGGCCCGGCUCGCCGCCGGGUCGGGCCUCCAACAUCACCUUCGAGGACAUCAUCAUGGCCGACGUGUCCAACCCCAUCCUCAUCGACCAGCGGUACUGCCCCCACGGCCGUUGCUCCGACGUCGACAAGCCUUCGCGGGUGCAGAUCAGCGACGUGACCUUCAGGAGGAUCGAGGGGACGUCGAGCAGCAAGGUGGCGGUGCAGCUGCGGUGCAGCGAGGAGCAGCCGUGCAGCGGGGUGCGCCUGGACGGCAUCAAGGGACGCCCGCCUUGGAGGCGCAGGCGCCCAGCCUGUGGGUUCAAGAAGCUCACGUGCUGCCAUCAGACGCUGAAUAACCAACCAUUCUCAAAAAUGAGACCAACCCAAGGGCUAACCCUCGUUGACUUUUCUUUAUAG
rnacentral:rRNA from 1 species